GAUGAACGCUGGCGGCGUGCCUAAUACAUGCAAGUCGAGCGAAGCGGGGACGGGUGAGUAACACGUGGAUAACCUCCUAUAAGACUGGGAUAACUUCGGGAAACCGGAGCUAAACCGGAUACUUAGAGAUGGGUCCGCGCCGCAUUCGCUAGUUGGUAAGGUAACGGCUUACCAAGGCAACGAUGCGUAGCCGACCGGAGAGGGUGAGCGGCCACACUGGACCUGAGACACGGUCCAGACUCCUCCGGGAGGCAGCAGUAGGGAAUCUUCCGCAAUUGGCGAAAGCUUGACGGAGCAACGCCGCGUGAGUGAUGAAGGUCUUCUGAUCGUAAAACUCUGUUAGUAGGGAAGCGGUACCUAAUCAGAAAGCCACGGCUAACUACGUGCCAGCAGCCGCGGUAAUAC
rnacentral:rRNA from 1 species